rnacentral:rRNA from 1 species
UACGGAGGGUGCAAGCGUUAUCCGGAUUCACUGGGUUUAAAGGGUGCGUAGGAGGGCAGGUAAGUCAGUGGUGAAAUCUUCGAGCUUAACUCGGAAACUGCCGUUGAUACUAUCUGUCUUGAAUACCGUGGAGGUGAGCGGAAUAUGUCAUGUAGCGGUGAAAUGCUUAGAUAUGACAUAGAACACCAAUUGCGAAGGCAGCUCGCCACACGAAUAUUGACUCUGAGGCACGAAAGCGUGGGGAGCGAACAGG